ACUCAAUAUGCAGUUCAUUAUGGUGGAGCAACCAAACUGGAUGUUGGCAGUGACACCCGGCCCACCCUCACCGUCCUGCCCCCCUCCAGUGUGGAGCUGCAGCAGGGGAAAGCCACACUCAUGUGUCUGGCCAACAAGGGCUUCCCCUCAGACUGGAAGCUGAACUGGAAGGUGGAUGGUAAGAGUUGGAGUUCAGGGGUGAGCUCCAGCCCUGGGGUUUUACAGAAGGAUGGUCUCUACAGCUGGAGCAGCACCCUCACCCUCCAGGAGGAGCAGUGGAGUAAGAUGUCAGUGACCUGUGAGGCCACACAGGGCUCCCAGUCUGCAGUGACCCAGACACUGAGUAAAGAUCAGUGUUCUGAGUAG